UACGAAGGGGGGCUAGCGUUGCUCGGAAUCGACUGGGCGUAAAGGGUGCGUAGGCGGGUCUUUAAGGUCAGGGGUGAAAUCCUGGAGCUCAACUCCAGAACUGCCUUUGAUACUGAAGAUCUUGAGUUCGGGAGAGGUGAGUGGAACUGCGAGUGUAGAGGUGAAAAUUCGUAGAUAUUCGCAAGAACACCAGUGGCGAAGGCGGCUCACUGGCCCGAUACUGACGCUGAGGCACGAAAGCGUGGGGAGCAAACAGG
rnacentral:rRNA from 1 species